rnacentral:lncRNA from 1 species
GGGAGAGUUAAAGGCGUUGCAUUGAGUUUCUGGCAUGUUUUUGUUGCUCAGAAGCUUGUGCAGGAGUUUCCAAAAGCACACGGGUGAUUAGCUGUGCUCUUUUCCUGUGCUUUACGCAUCUGAUCCUUUCUGAACAACUGAAGUCCAUAAAGAAAAAUAAGAGAUGAGACAAAAUGAAAGGAGGUAGAUGGAGAUUUUGCAGUUUGGAACAAUAUCAAUAGAUACACAGGAUGCAGCUCAGGAUACAUUAUCGUGUCCUGUCAGGCAGCAGGAGGAUAAGAACUCCAUAUUUUGAUGACACGACUAACUGGAUCAUUCUGCAUUUGUCUAGAAGCAGACAAAAGAGAAGAAGAACUACGUAUCCCAGAGGACCUCGUGGUCAGAGAAGGAAGAUACAUCAUGGAAGAUACGUCAUCUGGUUGCACAUGGUCUCUCACUUUCGCUUGCUGCUAGGGAGAGGAGUGGGUGUGCUUUCCAAGCCGUGUGCCUUCAUCAGUCCUGAGUGAACUUUGGUAAGACUGGCAAUCCAAGGCUUGUGUGCCAGCAGCUUUGAUGGUGGAAAGGAUGCUUCUGAGUUAAGUAUAGUGGUCCCUGGUAAAGGUGUCUUUUCACUCUCCCUUUCAUGGUGUUUGUUGCUGUUGUUGUAGUUUGUUUGUUUUGGUUUCUUUUCCCCCUCAUUUUUAUUUGCAGGACAGUAAUGUUUUGAACCAAGGAAAAUCCACAUGGAAGUCUUUAUGUCAGACAAGGAGGAGCAGUGGCCAGGAAGAUGAGAUGCUAAGAUUUUCUGAUUUGUGAAAUGAAAUCAGAUGAUGUAUGGAAUCAAAAGGAAAAUUUGUACCAGUACUUGAAGAUGAAAAAUGGCUCACAGAUUUAGCAUUUUUGGAUAACUCUCUGAAGAACAACAACCUGAAGAGAUGAAACCAACUGUUGACUGCUGAAACAUUCCUUAGGACUAGCAGCCAAUGAACUUGAAAAAAUAGAGAAACAAAAUGGCUUAACACCUUAAUGUCAAGAGAGACUUCUAAUGAUGGAAAUGUUCUAGGCUGGAUCACUAAGAUAAGUAUUAAUAACAAUCUCCUGUUAUUUUUGUCUUCUAUACGUAGCGCAGAAGAAUAAGUGACUCCUUCCAGUCCUGUGGGUAUUGUUAAUGACAAGCUGCUUGGCUUUGUUUUUCUACCUUUCCUUAUUUAUUUCACUUACUAUCAUAUCUAGGCAGUUUCAGAGAGUUUUAUCAUUUCUUGUCAAAUCUAUCUUGAUCACUUAUCAUUCAAAUGGAUGUUUAAUAUCAAGCUUCAAUGCUCACAGACCUUUUCAGGACUCAGAAGCAGGUAUUUUACAUCCUGAAUAUAUAGUUAUAUGUAAAACGCUCUGAGUUAACUGUCUCGUGGCCUUUAUAUUCUCUUGAAUCAUCUUCUGAUUUCUAUUGACAAAAUGAAAAUACUUAGUUAAGGUUGUAGGCAAAAAAAUAAGUGCAGAAGGUAUAUAGUGUAUGCAAUACAUAGCCAUUACACUGAGUCCUAAAUAAGCCUAGAGGAAGACUGAACAGUAGUGCUGCAAGGAGUCAACAAUCUCAUUUAUCUUUGUGAGCUCCCAACUCCCACAUAGUCAGUACCAGGCACUUGAGUAAACAAUGCAAACAAACUCACUGAAUAAAGAUGGGAAAACUGAAAACCUGCACUAAUUCCUAAAAAGUAAAUACUUCAUACCCUGUCACAGAAGGGUUAUGAAAAAAUAGUAUGGAGAAGAAGAAAUGGUUUAAAAAGCCUAAAAAGCAGAAAUUGAGCCAUUCUUAUUAUAUGCACAGUCUAUUCUGAGCAAAACAUUUUUGUCAGAUCACAGUGCUGUAUCUUUUUUUUAUGUGCAGUUUGGAAAAACAGAGCAGUCUCUGCUUCACUAUGCUGAUUGUUUUGUCUCAUGCACGACCAUGUCUCUAAAUUUGCCACCCACAGCCCUGACAGCCUCUCUACCCUCCAUCACCCUCAUUUAAAAAAAUAAAAUCUCUGUUAGAUUACAUCUCUAGGGCAGGCACAAAAGCAACUGUGUAGAGAUCCCUGAUUUGAUCUAUAGAAGCUAUCUUGUACACUAGUGGGAUUCUAGUCUUGAGAGCAGAACACAAAUUCAUGUACCCUGCAGCUUGGCUUGGUUUUGCAGCCUAUGCAGCACUUUGUGCUGCCACAGCCAAAUUGGUACUGAUACUUUAAGUAAGUGUCGCAAUAUAUCUAAGUCAGUUUUAUGCUAACUGCAGUCACUGCUACAACCUCAGCAUUGGUGCUCCCUCCUUUACAGCCUGCGUAUUCAGCCACCACUCCAUAUAUUUGUUCUUCUGCUAGGCUAUUUGCUCUUCUUUCACAUACAAAAUAAAUUGUAUAUAUUCUUUUAUAUUCACAAGUAAUUUUUUACUUUCUGGCUUCCCUAUUUCUGUAUCAUCUCAUAUGUGUUACAGAACAUUGCUGGCUAGCCCCAUAUUGCUGUAAAGGCAUAGAGAGUCUCUAUUUCCAUUAUCACAUUUAAAUACUUCAGAAGAAACCAUGCAUUAUGUAUUCUGAAUACUUACUAAAACAUCUUGAUCCUUAAAAAGAGUUUGGUGUCUUUCACUAUCUUUUUCCCUACUUUACACUGGGGCCGAUAACUUUUGGAAUUACAUGAAACCUAGAGAACUGGGAAAAUGAGCCGGAGAGAAAAAUGUAUUUAAUUUUCAGAUAACAAAGCAGUCAGGAAAAGGACUGAAUAAGUCAAGAUAGUAGAAGCAUGGAAAGGUUGCCUUGCCCUCUCUAAACGCUUGGAGAAAUUGUUUCAUAAAGAAAUGGAAGAAAAAAUACAUUUUGUUAUGUUUAUUGUAUUUCUGUGCAGAGGAAGGGGUGAAACUGCAAAGAAAGGAGGCAGCAUCAUUCAUCGCAAGUAUUUAGUAACUGUUGUAGUAGGUGUCUUGCGGGGCUACGGGAUGUACGGGACAGGCCUCUCCCUAAGCAUAGAGAGACAGUGUUAUCGUGCUGACCUUGAUGCAGAGAAAACAGGAGAAGAAGAAGGAUGAGAAAAGAAUGUGGAAACGGCCAAAUAAGGCACAAUGUUAUCUGGUGUGAACCAAUCAGAGUGGGACAUGACAGCACGGUUUUGUAGGUAAAAUGUAUAUAAGCUGUGUUUAGUAGUGAAUAAACGCCAUUUUGCUGCUCAUCAUAUUGGUGUGUGUCUGCAGUCAUUUGGCCCUGAUCAGGCUAUUGAUCAGUGCGUGCAGAGGCCUAACACAGGUGGCUAACAUCGUUGUUGCAGAAAGCAACAAGUAACAUAGAAGCUAUAAUUUCAUAUGUAA